rnacentral:piRNA from 1 species
UCGCUACGUGAAUACGUGCGCUCGAAAU